rfam:Carnobacterium divergens DSM 20623 NODE_90, whole genome shotgun sequence.
AUAAAAGCUUUGAAGAGAAAAAGUAAGAAUUAGGACUUUGUAGAGAGAUUGCAUUUGGUGAAAGCAAUUAAGUACUGGUUUCUGAACACACAUCUCUGAGCUAGCAGUUGAACCUCACCUAUAUGGGAGCUGUAAAUUGACUCGGGUGUACCCGUUACAGUACUAACGUUUAGUCGUUUUGAACGUGAUAAGGCAAUUUUCCGUGAGGAAGUUGCAAAAAAAGGUGGAACCACGAUACUUGUAUAGUCGUCCUUUGA